GUCUCCGUGGCGCAAUUGGUUAGCGCGUUCGACUGUUAUGGGUUCAACCCGGCGAUCGAGAGGUUGGAAGUUCGAGCCUUCCCGGGGACG